CUGAGCGAGGCGACCUCCUCCUCCCACUGAAGCCGUCGUCGUCGUCGUCGUCGUCGUCGUUUGUUGCUUCUUGCCUGCUCGUAGGAUUUGUGCUUUGCCUUGUUUCCUUCUGGUGGCACUGGCAUGCUGGUAACAUUAUGCUUGUUCGUAGUCCUAGAGGGUUGUUCAGUUGCUGGGUAACCUGCUUGUUUAUCUUGCACUGAUGCUGAUGUAAUGGUGGUCUGUUUAUCUAAAUGGAAUGCAAUUUGCUAUCGAAAUAUCUCAAUCCCGUUAUCUUGUUCGGUUACUCCCCAAUGUUUGCAAGUUAAAAUCUCUCAAUCCCUUCAGAUCCUCUCCAAUUUGUUUGGACUAGGGGAUUAGCUGAACAAGCUUACGGGGAUGCUAAAUCUGGGAUUACUUUUAAUUCUCUGAAUAUAUGUGUAUUCUAUUCUAUCCAGUGCAUUGUUUGGAUAGGUUAAAUGCAGCAUUUUGUCCUCGUUGG
rnacentral:lncRNA from 1 species